UACGGAGGGAGCUAGCGUUGUUCGGAAUUACUGGGCGUAAAGCGCACGUAGGCGGCUUUUUAAGUCAGGGGUGAAAUCCCGGGGCUCAACCCCGGAACUGCCCUUGAAACUGGAGAGCUAGAAUCUUGGAGAGGCGAGUGGAAUUCCGAGUGUAGAGGUGAAAUUCGUAGAUAUUCGGAAGAACACCAGUGGCGAAGGCGACUCGCUGGACAAGUAUUGACGCUGAGGUGCGAAAGCGUGGGGAGCGAACAGG
rnacentral:rRNA from 1 species